AUAAUUAUAUAUAUUUAAUAUAUAUUUUAUAAAUUAAUUAUAUUAAUUAAUCUAAUCUAAUAUAUAUAAUAUAAAAUAGAAACCUCUCAAGAGAAAAGCCUCCAUGUGACACGUAGAUUAUUAAAAAAAAAAAUACGUGAAGUUCGUCUCCUUCUCCAUGUUCGAUCAAGAGAGUAAGAGUCUCACGUCUCCUCCGUGUUCGAUCAAGAGAGCAAGAGUAUUUUUGCUGUGUUCGAUCAGGAGAGCAGGAGAGGCGGCGACGUAACCCUCCUCGCCAGUCUGCUCUGCUCCAAAACCCGUCCAUCGCCGGUGACGUAACCCUCCUCGUCAGUCUGCUCUGCUCCUAAACCCCGUCCAUCGCCGGCGAUGUUGAGGUGUUCUAUUCGCGCACAGCAACGAUCGGAAAUUGUGUGCCCUCGGGAGCCGCCACGGACGCAACAACGCAUGGUAAAGGCUUGUAAAUGCUUUAAUUCAGAGCAACUCGGUCAAACGACCAUUAAAAUCGUCAAAAGGUCAUGAUGAUGUGGUGUCUCGGAUAUCGAUCCCCGUCAUGUUAUUCCUCUCAGAGAGCAUGUUUCUAGCUUUUUAUUAUUAUUAUUAUUAUUUUGGAUAAAUCGGAUAGCUGCAGCCGAAGGACGAGGAAGAGUUGUUGCCGACACCGCCGAGAGCGGUGGCGGCGUGGAUCGGGGACAAAUCCCGGUCGUGGACGCCAACAACGGGGAGGAUCUGGCCGUCGCUGAGCUUGACGAGGAAGUCCCGGUCACAAGAAGUCGGCAUCAACGAUGGCGACCUCAGGGUGAUAUCAGCGACAAUGAGCCGCCGUCGACGGAGGAGGCCGAGAUGAAGAAUCUGGUCUCGGCGGCGACGAGGGCAUCGAUGCUUCCGCCGACGGAGAGGAAGACGACGUCAACGAAGGUACCAUCGAACGUGUUGAGAAUGUCAAAUCAAUGAAGUGGGUUGCCGUCGUGGGUGUUCGGGACAGCGGCAGAUGGAGGUAAGAGAGGAAUAACCCGAGUUAGAGUGCGGUCCAAGAAAGCAGAGAUGCACCGAGCGUACGUAUUUAAAAAUGCCCUCUCCUUUUAGGCUUAAUUUACGCACCUGCCACUCUAUGCUUCCCGGAUUAUGGCCUGUCUUCAAAACGGUCAUUUCAAUCAUCCAUAAACAAAACAAACGGUCAGUAUUUACCCCAAAAAGAAGAUGAUGGUACGAAAUUCCAAUUAACCAACUGUUGCUAAACCUGCUUAGUAGUUGUAAGCGCAGUUACAGCGUUGCCGUGGCGGCCGUUGUUAACUUAUUACAGCUCCCGUAAUCGUUUUGUAAUAUUAUUUACCGUGCAGAGGAGCAAACUGGUGAUUGUGGUAAAUUACUCACUAAUCUAAUAAAAUGCAAUGAGAAAUGGCUUCAUGUGG